GAUACAUUAACUUUUGGUUGGGGUAACCACGAAGAAAAGAAAACCUUCGACAAACAAAGAGUAAACAAACUCCAAACUAAAAAAAAUGAUCCGGAACCGAACAAGGAAAAAAGUUACCGCAGGGAUAACAGCGUUAUUCUCUUUAAGAGCCCAUAUUGACAAGAGAGUUUGCGACCUCGAUGUUGGACCGGGGCACCCCAGAGGUGCAGAAGCCUCUAAUGGUGGGUCUGUUCGACCCAUAAAGCCCUACGUGAUCUGAGUUCAGACCGACGCAAGUCAGGUCAGUUUCUAUCUA
rnacentral:rRNA from 1 species